GUCACACCUUCGUGAGCGGCCUCGGGCUCGCGGUUGAGGCUGAUUGAGGAAGUGGGUUCAGGCGGCCCGCCGUGCCUGGCACACGGUCAGAGUCCCCUGACAGGACUUUCCCCUUUCUCUGAGAUGACAUUCAGGCCGCUUUGCUUCGCACUGCCCUCAGAGAAGCAGUGUGCCCAGAAGUCAAGUAUGAGCUCUUGAGUCAAAAUGCUUGGAUUUGAAUUCCAACUCUGCUGCUUACCAGCUGUGUGACAUGGGGUGAGUGAGUUACUUGACCUCUCUGUACCUCUGUGUCAUCAUCUUUAAAAUGGAGCCCACAGCAACCAGGGAAAUAGUCUAACAGAAGCCUAGGAUGAAGAAUUUUGGGAAAGAAGAAACGUCCACCAAGGCCAAGUCCCUUUGUGUGUCAGUCUGCUUUCUCUCUCACACAUACAUGCACACAGGCUCGUACACACAGUCAAAGAUGUUAAGCAAAAUAUAAAGCUCCUCCACUGAUA
rnacentral:antisense_RNA from 1 species